AGAAGUCGUCAUUUGUCGGAGGAAUGUAUUUCUGCACUGAGGAGUGACAAGACUGACAUAUCAGCUAUAGCAAGCAUGGAUGAGAGCUUGGCCAUCUAUAUUCCCACCUAUGCUGACAGAAUUGCCACCCAGAGAUUUUGCUUCGAGUUCCAAGGAAAAGGUGAAAGAGAUGUCCUUCAACAGACGUGGCUUGAAAAACUCUUUACAUGCAAAUCUUCAUGGAAAAAGUCCAAUUUGAUCUAAAAUGUUUUUGGUUUCAGGUAAUAUCACUAUGUAAUAUAUUUAAAAAGAAAGCUUACCAUUUGACUCAAAAUGUGUUUUCAAGAACAUAUGGAAGUGAGCCACAAUAGAGUCAGUUAGCUUUUGUUUUUGUUGACAAAGAUAUAGAGCAAAAAUACUGAUUAAAAAGAUUACUCCAACAACAUUGUGAAAUACAAUUUUUUGAAGUGAAAUUAUUGCUGUUGCUAUUAAGCUUUUUUAAGGUAAAAAAUUUUAAAGCAUGUGUUUAAACUGUACUUACUUUUGUUUCCAUAGGGCAUUAUUUUUCUUUUAUAUUCUUUAAAGUUGAUUGUAAAAUAGAUAAAUGCUUUGAGCGCAAUAGUGCCCAGAUUUCUAACAACGACUUUUGUCAUAUGUAAAAGGAUUUUCUCAUGUUCAAUUUUGAGAUCCAUGUAUUCAUCUUUUUAAUACUCAUAGAUCAUGUUCUAGUUUGGUCAUCUUCUGGAGUUAGAGAAAUUCCUUUCAAAAGGAUCUUUCAGAGCACUUGUUAAAGGUACUUUUAAUGAAUGUUCUUCUGUGAGUUGAUGUAACAUUGCAAUAUAAUGUUAUGUUUCUAAGGAAAGAACAAGUUGGUUUGAUCACAAACCAUUGCACUUUAUUUUGUAAUGGGUUUUUACCAAAGAUUCAUUAAAAUUUUUCAUGUUACACAUAA